rnacentral:lncRNA from 1 species
CCGACUAAUUCUCACCGGUCUUGCGGCGGAGGAACUGUGAGUUGCCCCCUGACAUUUCUAAGUCAGUUCCUUAUUUUCUGGUGGGUGGUAACUCCAGAGAUCCAUUCCCAGAGCAAAUUCUGCUUAUGUUCGGCACAGCGCUUGGAACUCAACCUCUUCAAGAUUGAUAUAAAAAGUUUUAUUUACAACAAGCAAACAACGCGUUCCAAAUUAUAAUGCGGCAGGCAUGUGAUCAUCAGUUGAGGACAAACGUGACACAUACCAGUCAACUAAUCUAAAUCAGUUGCC